rnacentral:rRNA from 1 species
AACGAACGCUGGCGGCGUGCCUAACACAUGCAAGUCGAACGUGAUUGGAAGCUUGCUUCCAUGAAAGUGGCGCACGGGUGAGUAAUGCGUAGAUAAUCUGCCUGAUGGUUUGGGAUAACACUUCGAAAGGGGUGCUAAUACCGGAUAAGCCCACGGGGUCUUCGGACUUUGCGGGAAAAGGAGGGGACCUUCGGGCCUUCCGCCUUCAGAUGAGUCUACGUACCAUUAGCUAGUUGGUAGGGUAAAGGCCUACCAAGGCGACGAUGGUUAGCUGGUCUGAGAGGAUGGUCAGCCACACUGGAACUGAGACACGGUCCAGACUCCUACGGGAGGCAGCAGUGGGGAAUUUUGCGCAAUGGGGGAAACCCUGACGCAGCAACGCCGCGUGAGUGAUGAAGGCCCUUGGGUCGUAAAGCUCUGUCAGAGGGAAAGAAAUGUGGGUGGCUAAUACCUGCCUGGUCUGACGGUACCCUCAAAGGAAGCACCGGCUAACUCCGUGCCAGCCGCCGCGGUAAUAC